UUCGACUCCUUGUGUAUUGGUCUGGUCAUAGUGAACCUCAAAGUCCGGCAUUCAUAGUGAAUACUGAUACGGCGUGCACAAAAACCUGAAUAAUGGCGUUGUUUACUUCGAACGACCAACACACAGUAAUCUCAGAACUUCUCUAGGCAAGAUUGUUUUUUUUUAGAAAACGUUUAUUUUUCACUGUUUGUACUCAUGCCCUUGUGAUGUUCUAUGCCUGUCUGUCCUAAUUACAAACAAGCGUCAUCUUUCACCAGUCUACCUACAAGACUCACCCUGAUUCUGCCAGUGGCUUGCGGCUAUCAAGAAUGAUGCGGUGACCAAAGAUUAUCAAGGGGAUUUUCAGGCUGAACUGAUGGGGAAUCCAUUUCGACGACAGCUGAGAAGUGAUGCGAUACCAUAAUUUUUUUGCUCCUUCAGAACAAAACAGAAGAUUCUCAAUUAGAGAACAGUGGAGGCUACUGAGGGGAGGACGGCUCAUAAUAAUGGCUGAAACAGCGCAAAUGGAAUGGCAUCAAACCCUGUGUUUGAUGUAUUUGAAACCAUUCCAAAAAUUCCGCUCCAGUCAUUGCCACAAGCCUAUCCUCCCCAAUUAAGUUGCCACCAAACUCCUGUGGUGCAGAAUCUCCUUCCACCAAGAUGUGCUUCCAACCCCAAGCUCUGCACAAGGUUAUCUGGAGUCAUUUCACAGUGCCCUGCUGAAAAAUACCCCAAAGCGGAGGCAAAUGCUAAGACCACAACCAUAUCUUUCCAGGAGACGUGCAGUACCAGCAAAUCUUCUUCAAGAGGACCAAACAGUUGGUGGUUAAGAAGCCCUACACCACUUUUGGCAGAGUCUUAUCUAGCUGGCCGUUCACCGCAGACAGGACAAGCCCAUCGCCAUAAGCACAAAGAGUCAGUGUACCAAAGCCUGAUAAA